AAGCGAAAUGGAGGGGUGUGUGUCGAACCUGACCGUCUGCAAUCUGGCCUACAGCGGGAAGCUGGAGGAGUUGAAGGAGAGAAUCCUGGCCGAUAAAUCCCUGGCUACUAGAACUGACCAGGACAGCAGAACUGCCUUGCACUGGGCAUGCUCAGCUGGACAUACAGAAAUUGUUGAAUUCUUGUUGCAACUUGGUGUGCCGGUGAAUGAUAAAGAUGAUGCGGGUUGGUCUCCUCUUCAUAUUGCUGCUUCUGCUGGCUGGGAUGAGAUUGUGAGAGCCCUUCUGGGAAAAGGUGCUCAAGUGAAUGCUGUCAAUCAAAAUGGAUGUACUCCCCUCCAUUAUGCAGCAUCCAAAAACAGGCAUGAGAUUGCUGUCAUGUUACUGGAAGGUGGUGCUAAUCCAGAUGCCAAGGACCAUUAUGAGGCUACAGCAAUGCACCGCGCAGCAGCCAAGGACACUUAGCCUGUGACGAGGAGAGAGUGGAAGAAGCAAAACUGCUGGUGUCCCAAGGAGCAAGUAUUUACAUAGAAAAUAAAGAGGAAAAGACGCCCCUGCAAGUGGCCAAAGGUGGCCUGGGUUUAAUACUCAAAAGAAUGGUAGAAGGUUAAGCAGCUUGGAUUUAUUCUUAACUUUGUAUGUUUUUGUUGUCCCCAGUGUCCUGGAAACUAAUGUACUUGUGCAUAAGGCAUCAUUAAUGAAUGAUGAAGUUUUCUCACCUUCAAAGUCUUACAAACAUGUUAACUAUUGUUUCUGCUGAGGUACUUGUUCUAAGCUUACAACUUGCUUUCCAGGCAUGGAAUAACUGUUGAGAUUAUUCUGCUGUUACCAUGUAGUAUUCUGUAUUGAAUUUUGGUUAGUUUUGAGUAUGUGAUUCUGUGGCUGUCAUGAGUCUUCAGCACCCUCCCAUGCACCUUCUGACCCCCUCUGAGGCAGAACAGUGCAACAGCAACAGGUCAAUUGUUUUGCUAGAUGGUUCUAAGUGGAUUCUAUAAUGUUCAGUUGAAAUACAUCCUCACUUAUUUUUCAAGCCUCACUCAGGCCUAUGCCAAAUAUUUCUGUUUUUUCAACCAUGACGUUUAAAUUAUUUUUGUGACAGGAGGAACACAUAUAUUUUAGUGGACCAAAUUUUAAGUUGGAGGGCAUGCUCUAAAAGAUUGAAAAACAAUAGCCCAUGUACCCACGUAUUUCUCUGAUGAACCUUUUUCCCUCACAACAACAUGUAUGGUUUUUUAAAAGGAAGUUUCUAAAGUACCUGUAUUAAGUCAUUCUGUAUG